CAAGUGAAGUCGCGGAAACAACUUUCUUUCCAUCCAUUGGAUUGGUUAUAAGAGUGGAAAUACCGACAAAGAUUUAAUCUUUGGAUCUUUUCAACUGAGGACCUUUUGAAAGAACCUUUUGUUCUAUUCUAUUCCUCAAUUGUCCUCCAAACAUCUUUUAUAACAUUCACUUCUUCAAAUCUUCUCAUAAAGAGACGAGUGCUAGAAAUGGUCGGUACAACUAUUGAAGUUGGUCAUGUUUAUUCCUUAGCAGACAUUAUCAUAGCACAACCUUAUGUACGAGGCAAACAUUACUCAAGUAAUUUAAUCUUUGGAUCUUUUCAAUUGAGGACCUUUUGAAAGAACCUUUUGUUCUAUUUUAUUUCUCAAUUGUCCUCCAAACAUCUUUUCUAACAUUCACUUCUUCAAAUCUUCUCAUAAAGAGAAGAGUGCUAGAAAUGGUCGGUACAACUAUUGAAGUUGGUCAUGUUUAUUCCUUAGCAGACAUUGUCAUAGCCAAAAACUAGCACAACCUUAUGUACGAGGCAAAC
rnacentral:lncRNA from 1 species